GACGCUGGCGGCGUGCCUAACACAUGCAAGUCAACUUGACUGAAGGAGCAAUCUGACAGUAGAGUGGCGCAAGGGUGCGUAACGCGUAAGUAACUUGCCCCAAGGUAAGGAAUAACGUCGAGAAAUCGGCGCUAAUACCUCAUAAUGCAGCGGAUCCGCAUGGAUAUGUUGUUAAAGGUUUACCGCCUUGGGAUAGGCUUGCGUCUGAUUAGCUAGUUGGUGUGGUAACGGCACACCAAGGCUACGAUCAGUAACUGGUCUGAGAGGAUGAUCAGUCACACUGGAACUGAGACACGGUCCAGACUCCUACGGGAGGCAGCAGUGAGGAAUAUUGGGCAAUGCUCGAAAGAGUGACCCAGCAACGCCGCGUGGAGGAUGAAGGUAUUCUAUAUCGUAAACUCCUGUGAGAGCAGACGAAAGACAGAUUAUUAAUCUGGAUGACUGUAUGCUCAGAGGAAGCCCCGGCUAACUACGUG
rnacentral:rRNA from 1 species